rnacentral:rRNA from 1 species
AAGUUUCAACAACGGAUCUCUUGGCUCUCGCAUCGAUGAAGAACGCAGCGAAAUGCGAUAAGUAAUGUGAAUUGCAGAAUUCAGUGAAUCAUCGAAUCUUUGAACGCACCUUGCGCUCCUUGGUAUUCCUUGAAGCAUGCCUGUUUGAGUAUCA